rnacentral:siRNA from 1 species
UGACCUAAUGGUCGGUGGUGAGCU